rnacentral:rRNA from 1 species
UACAUGGGGUGCAAACGUUGCUCGGAAUUAUUGGGCGUAAAGCGCGAGUAGGCGGUUACUUAAGUCGGAUGUGAAAGCCCUCGGCUUAACUGAGGAAGUGCACCCGAAACUGAGUAGCUAGAGUACGAAAGAGGGUCGCGGAAUUCCCGGUGGUAGAGGUGAAAUUCGUAGAUAUCGGGAGGAACACCGGUGGCGAAGGCGGCGACCUGGGUCGAGACUGACGCUGAGACGCGAAAGCGUGGGGAGCAACAGG